CCUUAUCUUCUUUUCUUCAAGAAUCUUUUAGUAAUGAGGGCUAUUUCUUCAUCCUGCUCUUUAUUUUUCGCAUCAUCGGAUUCUUCAUCAAGUUGAGUAGUGGAUUUGAGGAUGAUUGUCCUCUUCUUUUUGACAUCUUCUUCUUGAUGUUGUUUUAUGCUUAGCUCAUGUAUCAUUAGCGAUCCUAGAAGCUUCUCCAAGAGUAAGAU
rnacentral:lncRNA from 1 species